UACGUAGGGGGCAAGCGUUGUCCGGAAUCAUUGGGCGUAAAGCGCGUGUAGGCGGUUCGGUAAGUCUGCUGUGAAAGCCUCCAGCUUAACUGGAGAAGUGCCAUGGAUACUGCGAACCUGGAGGAGGGUAGGGGCAUCUGGGAACGCUGGGUGGAGCGGUGAAAUGCGUUGAUAUCCAGCGGAACUCCGGUGGCGAAGGCGAGGUGCUGGACCCUUUCUGACGCUGAGGCGCGAAAGCCAGGGGAGCAAAGCGGGG
rnacentral:rRNA from 1 species